rnacentral:rRNA from 1 species
AGAGUUUGAUCCUGGCUCAGAAUGAACGUUGGCGGCCUGGAUUAGGCAUGCAAGUUGAGCGAACCCGCAAGGGGAGCAGCGUAAGGGGCAGUAAGGCAUAGGUACCUACCCCGGGGUCGGGCAUAGCCUGUAGAGAUACAGGGUAAUUCCCGAUGACCUCGAGAGAGCAAAGAUUUAUCGCCCUGGGAGGGGCCUAUGUGAUAUUAGCUAGAUGGUGGGGUAACGGCCCACCAUGGCGAAGAUGUCUAGCGGGUGUGAGAGCACGACCCGCGCCACUGGCACUGAGACACUGGCCAGACACCUACGGGUGGCUGCAGUCGAGGAUCUUCGGCAAUGGGCGCAAGCCUGACCGAGCGAGGCCGCGUGGGCGAUGAAGGCCUUCGGGUUGUAAAGCCCUGUCGAGGGGGAGAAAAGGCAACUUGAUCUAUCCCUGGAGGAAGCACGGGCUAAGUUCGUGCCAGCAGCCGCGGUAAGACGAACCGUGCGAACGUUAUUCGGAAUCACUGNGCUUAAAGGGCGCGUAGGCGGGCUGCCAAGUCCGGNGUGAAAUCCUCCAG